UACAUGGGGUGCAACCGUUGCUCGGAAUUAUUGGGCGUAAAGCGCACGUAGGCGGUUUGUUAAGUCGGAUGUGAAAUCCCUCGGCUCAACUGAGGAAGUGCAUCCGAAACUGGCAGGCUUGAGUACUAAAGAGGGUCGCGGAAUUCCCGGUGUAGAGGUGAAAUUCGUAGAUAUCGGGAGGAACACCGGUGGCGAAGGCGGCGACCUGGGUAGAUACUGACGCUGAGGCACGAAAGCGUGGGGAGCAAACAGG
rnacentral:rRNA from 1 species